GAAUCUUGGACAAUGGGGGAAACCCUGAUCCAGCCAUGCCGCGUGAACGAUGAAGGCCUUAGGGUUGUAAAGUUCUUUCAGCGGGGAAGAUAAUGACGGUACCCGCAGAAGACGCCCCGGCUAACUCCGUGCCAGCAGCCGCGGUAAUACGGAGGGGGCUAGCGGUGUUCGGAAUUACUGGGCGUAAAGCGCACGUAGGCGGAUUGGAAAGUUGGGGGUGAAAUCCCAGGGCUCAACCCUGGAACUGCCUUCAAAACUUCCAGUCUGGAGUCCGAGAGAGGUGAGUGGAAUUCCGAGUGUAGAGGUGAAAUUCGUAGAUAUUCGGAGGAACACCAGUGGCGAAGGCGGCUCACUGGCUCGGUACUGACGCUGAGGUGCGAAAGCGUGGGGAGCAAACAGG
rnacentral:rRNA from 1 species